rnacentral:lncRNA from 1 species
CGUGCACGCCCUUUGCACAAGGGCAAUAAUUAGUCAGUGUGCAGAUGCUCUUGUGUUCACUUGCCACCUUGGCCACCUCAUUUAUUUCAGGGAUGGUCCACAGGAGGGUCAGUUCACCCCUGCAAUGGAAGGGCAGGCCGGCCUGGGUCCUGGAGAGUAGCUGCCCCCACCAGGCCAGCCACCCAGGCUUGGACUGCCCUAACAGUUCAGGAGACAGGGGAAUGUGUGCACAGGGGCCAUUAGAUGAAGCUGCUGGCAUGGCCUCGGUUUCCGGGUCAUCAACACUGAGGAGAGGGUGCAGCUCCAAGGGACCGUGUCCUGUGACAUCCUUCCCGGAAUGGGCACGCUGAGCGCCCCAGCCAGCAAGGCUCCCUUCCGGAUUUGAAGCCCUGGCCCAGUGACUCUGUGUCCGUUAGUGCGUCCUGGACAGGGGGGAUGCAGUUUCCUCCUCUGUAAAGCGCAGGGGUGGACUCAAUUCUCUCAAAGCUCCUUCUUCACUAGAAAUGAGCAAAGCAGCCAGGCCCGACUCCCCCCUCCCCAGACACCUCUGCCCGUGGACCCUGACUUCGGGCAGCCUGGUCACCGGGGCUGUCUCUGGCCCAUUCUCCUUCCCCUCUGCUGCCCUGGUCGGUGAGAGGUGGUCCAGAGUAGGCUUGGUCAUGAAUGGGAUUGAUGGAGCACCUCACCUAGCGUUCUAGAGCCAUUAAGAUUUGAUAAAAUCCUUCUGGAAACUCCAAUUAAAUGACCUUGUGUUGGACAAGACAGGAAGCACGAAGUUCUGCGACCGAAGAGGAUGAAAAGCUAAUCCAGAUGUUCACCAACAUUUCAAGAUCCUUGGAGACGUAUCUGAAGCCAGUAUUCGCAGCUACCCAUCACUGGGACAUCAGAAUCCAGGGUGAAGGAGGAAAAAAGGGGAAGGAAAAGGAACUGAAGCCUCCCCCAGUAACACAAGGUAAGGUAGGUAGUGGGUGGGCAGAUGAAGCUUUUGACCUAUGUGUGGCCAGGCGGUCAUGUGGGCUGCCCCUCUCACCCGGGAUCUGGCUGCUCGCUGGCUCCUCUCUGCCCCCUGAGAAUGACCAGGGGCUUAUCUCUGUCCUGCUGCAGACACCCUCCCUCAGGCUCUGAGCCACCAUCCGGCCAGGCCAGAUGGAGGGAGGUCAAGUCUACCCUGAUGCUUGUCACCCAACAUAGACAGCAUCUCCCUUCCAGAGAAUGUAGGCAACUAUGGCUCCACCUCCAGGCUCAGAACUGAGCCAUCUGUUUCCUGUUUUAUUUUACAUCUUUAAAAAAGAAACAAAACUAUUUA